rnacentral:rRNA from 1 species
GUAGGUGGCAAGCGUUGUCCGGAAUUAUGGGCGUAAAGCGCGCGCAGGCGGUUCUUUAAGUCUGAUGUGAAAGCCCACGGCUCAACCGUGGAGGGUCAUUGGAAACUGGAGAACUUGAGUACAGAAGAGGAAAGCGGAAUUCCACGUGUAGCGGUGAAAUGCGUAGAGAUGUGGAGGAACACCAGUGGCGAAGGCGGCUUUCUGGUCUGUAACUGACGCUGAGGCGCGAAAGCGUGGGGAGCAAACGGGGGGUUAGAUACCCUGGUAGUCCACGCCGUAAACGAUGAGUGCUAAGUGUUAGGGGGUUUCCCGCCCCUUAGUGCUGCGGCUAACGCAUUAAGCACUCCGCCUGGGGAGUACGGCCGCAAGGCUG